AACAGGCUUUCAAAUAAUUGCAUCUCUUGAAGAGCCUUAAAAAUAUGAAACACAUAUCCAUCUCUAUGAAGUGAUUUGGGGAAAAUUGUACUGAUGAAAGGAAUCUGAGUGGCUAAGAUGACUUUGAAAGGGACCUUGUAACUUGAGGACACAGUGUUCCAGGAGGAGCAAUGGAAAUCAGGGAAUAGGAUCUCCUGCAAAAUAUUCACAACUCUUUGAAAUGGAAAUCAGGCUAUUUCAAUUUAGGAAUCGAAUUAAAGCAAAUAUUCGGGGUGUUGGCAGGCUGUGCUGGAGCCUGUUUGAAGCAGCAGCUAACGAAGGGAAGCGUGCUUUUCCCCGGAUGGAGCAGGAUCUCACGCAGCCUGUUUUCAUCUUAGCACCUGCUGGCUUGGAGUGGUGUCACCCAAGCAAUCAGAGGGAGUCUGUGCCAGGAGCCUGACCUCCCCGUGUUUGCUGCCCUUCCCCCACACCCCAUGGCAGACUGUCCUGAUAUAGAUGGACAGGGGACUGGUUUAAAAUGACAGUCUCAAGUUCUUUUAGGAAGAGAAGGCUAAUUCAAAGAAACAGCCAGACAAGCUUUCUUUCUCUUCAGACGUCGUCAUUGCCCCGCUCCUCCAUGGCCCAUCUGGGAGCCCAUUUUGCCUUUAGAUCCCGCUGGCAGAAGACCGACGGUGAACUCUGCCGGCACAGCAUGUCCUUCAUCCUUCACCGAGCCAUUCGCAAUGACUUCUUUCAGAGCUACCUCUACCUGCUGGAGAAAAUUCCCCUGGAUGAGAACACUGCGGUCAAGAGAGAAAAUCAUUCACACGGUGAACACAGAGAACGCUGGCACUGUCACAUGCUGUCUGGCCGAGGCUCGGUGCACUUUCUCCCACCUACUGGGCUGGAGCAAAUGACCAAUUUAGCAUGAAGGGUGCUGGGAGAACCCCUCUGGCGUGGAGAAGAUGACCUCAUGCUGUGUUCUCCAGGUCGGCUCCACGGCAGCUGAAGAGGAGGAUGGAGAGGCCCUGCAAGAAAAGCUGACUCCUUCUAGCUGCAGAGGUUGUGCGAUGGAGAAGAGGGAGAGAGAGAGCAGCACAGAUGUCCCCCUUCCCAGUGAGCCCGUCAAAGAGGUAUGACAUAAUUUCCACUGGACGGACGUAACACACAGAGUCUGGGUCACUGCUGGGGGUCGCACCAUGGAGCCGAGCGGUGGCAGCCUGCUGUCGGACUCCUGAGUAUGCUCUCUCAGCCAGAACACCAGGACAUCUGUACCUGGCAAGUGAGUCCAGGCCUUCACCCGUGAGCGUUCUUUCGUACUCUACGGGACGACUUUCCUUAGCCCCUCUGUAAGCCUGGGGAGUUGAUUCUGCUGCCCAGCUGAAAUAUACAGAGUUCAGAGGCUGCACGGCUACACUUGGGGCAUGUAUGUCAUUAAAAGAAUGAAGAAAAGAUGAUGGCGGUGCUGUGUUACACCCCCUGGAAAUGCUGGCGGAAUUCGUGGCUCCAGGCUCUUUUACCUGACAGGCGUCAGUUUGGUGAAGCAGUUUCCUUCUUACCUUUUCUACCUCUCUCUGUCUCCCCCUCCCCUCCUCUCCUUCCUUCCGUCCUUCUUCUUUCCUCCCUCCCUCUCUUCCCUGCUCUCUCUCUUUUCCCCUCUUUCAUUUACUUCCCAUCCUCUUCUCGGCCACAGAAUAUCUGGGUGUUGUUUUCACCCCUGGAAAGGCCGAUACCACAAGGUCUCUGUCCGUCUCGGCUUCUCUUGACUGUCUUCUGCACCUUGGGUGUAGACUGUUCUUCCUCUGCCCAGACACACUCUUUUCUCUCUGACUCAGGAUUCCCUGAAUCCGCCCCUGUUUAUCUGAGCUGUCCCCGUGGGGAAUACGGGGUCAACACACAGUGUGACCUCAGGAGUGAUUUCAGUUACAGCAGCUCCCACGUGAUCCAUCAGACUCAGCAGGAAUUUUAAUGGACUCAGAACCCCUUCUCCUGCCUGAGGUCACUGGCUCUCAGAGCAAAUCUUCCACAAACUGACAUGGACCCUGGAGAAGUUGUCUGCUCUGUCAAGAGAGGUAUGGAUCUUGCCUUCAGAUCUCUGGGGCAUGCUGUCCCCCUCCAUGGAACUGGAGGGAAACACCAAGCCAUUAGAGAGUAUAGAAUUACUAUGGUUUAAUGUGGAAAAAUCCAGCCCACUCAGAGCCGAUCCGGUGUCUGACAGCAGGGGCGGGAGCCCGAGGCUGGGUUCUGCUCUGGCUUUGCCCUUGACAAGCCGCGCGGCUGGGCAAGUCGCCUGCUUGCCUUAGGUUCAGGCCACAAGCUGUAUGGAGGGCUGGUGAUGAGACCCCCAGUUCUGUGGGGGCGAGCUGAGGAGGGCAGGGUGGGAGGUGAAAACAUGGCAGCGAGCCUUCGAGCCUUCGUCCUCAAAAGUACAGAACCCAGUCUCCCAAAGUCCCGAGCGGUGGGAGAAGGACAAACAAUGGCGCUUCAGGGUCACUGGCAACACAGGCAUGUGAUCCAGGGCUCUGUUCAUCUCUGCUGCCAGCCAGAAAGCCACCUGGGCACAAGGACUGUGCCUCUCAUCUCUGUGUCCUCUCCUCUGCGACUGCUUGUUGAGUGUGGGGAAAUGGGAGGAGCCUCGGUGACACUCAGGAAGAGCAAGAGGCAGAAGGAGGCAGGGAUCCAGCAGAAGAGCACUGGGGAAGUGCAGGGGCCACAGUAAGGGCCGGCGAUCGAUGGAUCGGCAGCCCCAGGAGAGGAGAGUGGCUGCUCACUGUCAUGCCCCCACCUCCCACACCUCUUAUAAGCACAUAAGCAGAGGCCUCUCUUUUCCCACUUUUUAAAAAACUGGAAUACUAUAUACAAUCUGCUUCCUGUAUCUUGCUGUUUUGCUUUCAAAAUGCUGUAAAAUCCCUCUAGGUCAAUUAGGAGCCAUCCACCUCUCUUAACUCAAUCUUUUUAAACAAUGUCAUUGACAAGUAAAAUUCAUGUAUUUUCAAGA